rnacentral:ncRNA from 2 species
GGUUGCAGCUAGGGGCGCCCCUGUAUGGGCUGAGAGUGACCCUCGAACCUGAUCCGGAUCAUACCGGCGUAGGAAAGCAGGCACUUCCACAC